rnacentral:ncRNA from 2 species
GAUGGACAGCUGGCCUCAAGGGAACACUGCAAAGUGGCUCUAGGAAGAAGCCACUGUCCCUCCAGACCAUAAAAAUGGCUACCAAGGGCAGAGCCAGCAGCUUUCGCUGUAAAGUUUCUCAAGAAAAUCACAGAUAUUCCCCUCUGUGAUGUUCAGCUCAGCCUGGAAAGGAGAGGUAGAAACUGAGAGUUGAAGAGGCUGAAUAAUUUCUCAAGCACACUCCCAACUCGACCACCCACAAGCAAAAAGGCAGAGCUGGGAUUCAAACACAGGUAUGACUGUGUGUGGACAUCUCCCCUGUGCUAUGCUCCCUGAAGGAAAAUUCUAAGUGGUGUUGUUUCUGGGAGAAAUCUACCUGUGUGGUCUUUAAACCUACUCUGACAGGAGCAAGGGCCACCACUCUGU